rnacentral:tRNA from 1 species
GCCCGAGUGGUGGAAUUGGCAGACACGGCAGACUCAAAAUCUGCUGCCGGCAACGGCGUGUGGGUUCGAGUCCCACCUCGGGCA